rnacentral:rRNA from 1 species
GGUCCAUACAUCUACGGAUGGCAGCAACCGGGAAUCUUGGACAAUGGGGGAAACCCUGAUCCAGCGACGCCGCGUGGGGGAAGAAGGCCUUCGGGUUGUAAACUCCUUUUGUCCCGUGUAAUGCGGGGAGAAUAAGCACCUGCCAACUACGUGCCAGCAGCCGCGGUGAUACGUAGGGUGCAAGCGUUAUCCGGAUUUACUGGGCGUAAAGGGUUGCGUAGGCGGUUUAUUAAGUCAAAAUUCAAAUAUUUCAGCUUAACUGGAAAUCGGGUUUUGAAACUAAUAGACUUGAGUAUCAGAGGGGUUGCCAGAACUUGCAGUGGAGCGGUGAAAUGCGUUGAGAUUGCAAGGAAUACCAAUGGCGUAGGCAGGCAACUGGUUGAUUACUGACGCUGAUGCACGAAAGCUAGGGGAGCAAAAGGGAUUAGAGACCCCUGUAGUCCUAGCCGUAAACGAUGGACACUAGAUGCCUGCAUUUUAAUGUGGGUGUCGCAAGCUAACGCGUUAAGUGUCCCGCCUGGGGAGUACGGCCGCAAGGCUAAAACUCAAAGGAAUUGACGGGGACCUGCACAAGCGGUGGAGCAUGUGGUUUAAUUCGAAACAAAGCGAAAAACCUUACCAGGGUUUGACAUCCUAGCUGCACGCCGUUGGAAACAAUGGUUUCUUCGAGAGUGCUAGGACAGGUGCUGCAUGGCUGUCGUCAGCUUGUACCGUGAGGCGCACCCUUAAGUGGGUCAACAAGCGCAACCCCCAUUGUGUGUUAAAUAUUCACACGAAACCGCCCGUUAAAUGCGUGGAGGAAGGCGGGGAUGACGUCAAGUCAGCACGGCCCUUAUGCCCUGGGCUACACACAUCCUACAAUGGACACUAACAACGAGUUUUGCCACUCGGCAACGGGAAGCUAAUCUCUAAAACGUGUCCUCAGUUCGGAUUGAAGGCUGCAAUUUGCCUUCAUGAAGCCGAAAUCGCUAGUAAUCGCGGAUCAGCAGGCCGCGGUGAAUACGUUCUCAGGUCUUGUACACACCGCCCGUCAAGCCAACAAAGUCAGGGGAGCCCGAAGUAUCCUUUAAUGGGUCCUAAGGCUAAACUGGCGAUGGGGACUAAGUCGUAACAAGGUAUCCGUUCUGGAAGGAGCGGAUG